GGUCCCGUAGCGCAAUUGGUUAGAGCGUCGUACUAAUAUUAUCCUAAAUACCUAGGAAAUAUUACGUAAAUGCGAAGGUUGAGAGUUCAAUCCUCUCCGGGACCA